UCCCAUUAACAUUGCCUGCAGAAAGUGUGGGAGAAUGACGUUUAUACUUCCUAAUUAGUUAGGUGUAUGAAUGCCACCUUGUGUUUCAGAGCUGCGGUAAUAUUACGGCAGUACGGUAACUAGCAAGAAUGAAUUAUUUUAUAAUAGGGGGUAGAUGAGACUUAAAUGCUGCAAACACCUACACCAAAUUGAGCACACUAAAAGAUUUACAUGCAUCAUACAGGACAGUAUAUUUUUUAAAUAUAUACAUGUAUAUAUAGUUUGUAAAUAUAUGUAUCUAGUUUGGCACAGAGCUGUACCCACACCCUCAUCCCGAGCAGGGCUCUUGCAAAUGAAGGGGACUGCCCUCAGCCGUAUAAGCACCGGCCAGACUUCAGUGGGAAAGAACGGUGGAAUCGUGUUGCCAAAGAUUAAAAGGGACACUCUACGCACCAUAACCUUUAUACCUCUGCAUUAUCUUACAGAAACCAUCUCAAAACCCCAGUGUUUUGUCAAAGUUUUUUGGAGUUUGACAAAAACAGGCAUUGCCAACCACUGCAAUUAGAAACUGUGUGGUAGGUAAAGCCAGAGUGUUUUACGGUUUGGCAUAUAAUCUAGAAGGAUUAUGGUACCAUUACAAUAAUCUGUUGUGGUUAUGUUGCUUUAAGCACAUUUGAAAAUAGCGGAAUGUAUUCAUUUAUUUUUAAAGGAAAACUAUGCCGGCUUAUUGACUAAACCAAGAACUGACAGGGGAAUUAAAUAAGGCCAAAUGGGGAGUCUGAAUUGGGAGAAAAAUAUUUCUUUUUCCAAAUCUAAUGUUCCAGUUAUUUUGGCUGCAG